UAAUCACAAGAGAAGCCGCGUGAAGUAGCGGAAGUUGAGGGAGUUGUCGCGUACCACCUUCGAUAACCAAAGCAGACCGCUAAUAAUUAAAUAUUCGACUAAAGCGUUCCGGGUUACACAGCUUUCUGCACAGUUCCCAAAAAAUAACCGAAAAUGACGGUGGCCGUAUUUUUUGGCUGUACCUUCAUUGCCUUCGGGCCUGCAAUCGCUCUGUUCUUGUUUACCAUCGCCAGGGAGCCACUGAGGGUCAUCUUCCUCAUAGCAGGAGCUUUUUUCUGGCUUGUCUCUCUCCUAUUGUCCUCUCUGGUUUGGUUUAUCUCCGUUCAAGUAAGUAACAAGGACAGUGCGGUUCAGCAGAAAGGCCUCCUCAUCUUUGGUGUGGUGCUGUCCGUCCUCCUGCAGGAGACUUUCCGCUUCGCUUAUUAUAAACUGCUGAAGAAAGCAAAUGAAGGCCUCCUCACCCUCAGCCAGGAGGAAACUAUGCCCAUCUCCAUCCGACAACUGGCCUACGUGUCUGGCCUUGGCUUUGGAUUCAUGAGUGGCGCAUUCUCCGUGGUGAACAUUCUGGCUGACUCUGUUGGUCCGGGCACUAUAGGGAUCCAUGGGGACUCGCAGCACUACUUUUUAUCUUCAGCAUUCAUGACGAUGGCCAUUAUCCUUCUCCACAUGUUCUGGGGUGUAGUAUUCUUUGAUGCCUGUGAAAAGCAGCAUUGGUGGGCAGUUGCUGCCGUUGUCAUCAGUCACCUGGUUGUUUCCUGUCUGACCUUCCAGAACCCAGAGUAUGUUGCCAGCCUGGUUCCCACAUACAUUAUCUUGUUCCUAAUGGGUGUUUGGGCCUUUUACUCUGCUGGCGGGUCCCUCAGGAGCCUCAAACUUUUCCUGACUUGCAAAGACAAAGAUUUCCUGCUUGCUAACCACCGAUCCAGAUAACACAACACUCCAAGGAGCUUGCAGGACUCUACAUCCAAAAUUCUCUCAGAUGCAUUGAACACAUCUGACUGGGAUGCCACAUUGAUCGAGUAAUUCAUGAAGUAGCUGAAAAAAACACUGACAACCACACAGACAAAUAGACGCACACACACAGUCACUGUCUCCAUUAUCUGGAUGCCAAGUUGAUGUGUAACCUCCCCUCCUCUCAGCCUUCCAUCACUGUAAAUUUAGCAACAGAAGCUUCUCAGCUGCUCCUUUCCAAAACCCAAGCCCCCGUCUCCCAUCCACAGAAUUUCAGCCAUGUCCUUCUCUGGGGUCAUGGCUUCCCCCUCCCCACAUUUUACACACACAAACAUACAGUAUACUACACUCACACCUCAAUCUCACCCCACAGCCAAUAAGGGCCAGAUGAGCUCAAGU